CUGAACUGUAUUGACUUGAGUGCAGGAGAAGGUAAAGCUGAAUCCUAGUGGUAGGCGGUGAAUGCGUAGAUAUUUAGGAGGAAACACCCAGUGGCGAAGGCGGCUUACUGGACCUGUAACUGACGCUGAGAACACGAAAGCGUGGGUAGCAAAACAGGAUUAGAUAUCCUCGGUAGUCAACGCUGUAAAUGAUGAGUGCUAGGUGUUGAGUAGCGAUAUUCAGUGCCCGGAGUAAACACAAUAAGCACUCCCGCCUGGGGAGUACGUACGCAAGUAUGAAACUCAAAGGAAUUGACGGGGACCCGCACAAGCAGCGGAGCAUGUGGUUUAAUUCGAAGCAACGCGAAGAACCUUACCAAGGCUUGACAUCCCCUUGACCAGUGCAGAGAUGUACUCUCUUCUUCGGAAGCAAGAGAGACAGGUGGUGCAUGGUUGUCGUCAGCUCGUGUCGUGAGAUGUUGGGUUAAGUCCCGCAACGAGCGCAAC
rnacentral:rRNA from 1 species